AAACGAUUGAAGUCAGUCGUGUCUGUUGAUUUCAGCCAGUUAUGCUGGUGUAUUAUCAACAGACGGGUCAACAUCAGUUUUGGACGGUGGAAAAAGGCAGAGAGAACGUAUCACCUCCGGGUGUGUUAUAGCUCUUUGUCACAUACACUGUCCGAGACUGAGGAAUGCAGCUCGCCUUUAUGGCCGGGGUUCGCCCACGUUCGAGCUUAGGAUGUUGACAUAAUGGCUUUAAACGA
rnacentral:rRNA from 1 species